rnacentral:rRNA from 1 species
UGGGGAAUUUUGGACAAUGGGCGAAAGCCUGAUCCAGCAAUGCCGCGUGUGUGAAGAAGGCCUUCGGGUUGUAAAGCACUUUUGUCCGGAAAGAAAUCCUUGGCUCUAAUACAGUCGGGGGAUGACGGUACCGGAAGAAUAAGCACCGGCUAACUACGUGCCAGCAGCCGCGGUAAUACGUAGGGUGCAAGCGUUAAUCGGAAUUACUGGGCGUAAAGCGUGCGCAGGCGGUUUGCUAAGACCGAUGUGAAAUCCCCGGGCUCAACCUGGGAACUGCAUUGGUGACUGGCAGGCUAGAGUAUGGCAGAGGGGGGUAGAAUUCCACGUGUAGCAGUGAAAUGCGUAGAGAUGUGGAGGAAUACCGAUGGCGAAGGCAGCCCCCUGGGCCAAUACUGACGCUCAUGCACGAAAGCGUGGGGAGCAAACAGGAUUAGAUACCCUGGUAGUCCACGCCCUAAACGAUGUCAACUAGUUGUUGGGGAUUCAUUUCCUUAGUAACGUAGCUAACGCGUGAAGUUGACCGCCUGGGGAGUACGGUCGCAAGAUUAAAACUCAAAUGGAAUUGACGGGGUCAUAGCU